rnacentral:rRNA from 1 species
AGCGAACGCUGGCGGCAGGCUUAACACAUGCAAGUCGAGCGGGCGUAGCAAUACGUCAGCGGCAGACGGGUGAGUAACACGUGGGAACGUACCUUUUGGUUCGGAACAACACAGGGAAACUUGUGCUAAUACCGAAUAAGCCCUUACGGGGAAAGAUUUAUCGCCGAAAGAUCGGCCCGCGUCUGAUUAGCUUGUUGGUGAGGCAACGGCUCACCAAGGCGACGAUCAGUAGCUGGCUGAGAGGAUGAUCAGCCACACUGGGACUGAGACACGGCCCAGACUCCUACGGGAGGCAGCAGGUGGGGAAUAUUGGACAAGUGGGGCAACCCUGAUCCAGCCAUGCCGCGUGGGUGAUGAAGGCCCUAGGGUUGUAAAGCUUCUUUUGUGCGGGAAGAUAA